rnacentral:lncRNA from 1 species
AACCAUGUUACAACAAUCAUUGUUUUUGGAAUAUUCAACAUGAAGAACUGAAAUUCAUCAAAGUUAACCAAAAUUAAGGAGCUUAACAUGCCUGAGCACAAUAGCCUAGCUAUAUAUCUAUACCUCAUGCAUGGAUCAAGUCUUUCUGCAAAAUAAAGUAAAUUACAAAUGAUGAAUAAAGGGAGUAAUCAUAGCAAAGAAAUGCUUAUAAAUGCUUCGGCAAUAGAAACAUUAAAAUGAGAAAAUGGUGCACCUAAAUCAUAUACCAUACGCAACGCAAAGCACCUCGUGAGAAAACAGGAGCCAUCAUUUCAACCCACCUGAAAAAAUUGGUGAACCUUUCUUAGACAAUAGUAAUGUUACGGGAAUCCUCAUUAAAUUUCAAGUUACCACACAACUUUUACCCUGUGCAAGGAGGACCACUGCUAUUUUCAUCACACCCUUUGUCUCUACCACCACUUUUGUAAAUCCUUCUGUUUGAACAAUGACCAAAAGCAUACUCAGUAUAGACACAACUAUCUACUUUAAAACUUUAUAAUUUAAUAAUAUGAUUUAUAAAUUAAAGUUCACUAUUGCAGGUUGGGGAAAUUAACAAAACAUUUGACAACAGAAAAUAGGAUAAAUAGGAGAACCUGUGCACAUUUGACUUCCCCCAUGUGAGGUAAUUCGAUGAUGUACCUCUAGUUUUUCAGUAUCAAGUUCCGGUUGUGAUAUCUCCAGUCCUUCACUUUUUAUAAUAUAAACAUACCUAAAAUCAUUGAAGUAUAUAAUAUCAACCCCUAAUUCUUAAGAUGAUGUACCAAUAAUGUAAGACUUUUUCAAGUAUUUCGAAGUUAUUAUAAUAGCUAGUUUUAAACUGUUAUUUACUAUGAUCAAAUUUGUGUACAAAAUAAAUUGAACAUACAGAUAAAUAUGGAACGCUUGAAUUCAACAAAUCCAGCUUUCCAAGGUCACCACUGAACUCCAUCACUGCUCCACAUUUGGAAUCUAGAACUAGAAGGAAAACAGAAUCACUGUUGACAGAACUAAUUGUUGUAAAACUGUGUAUAUUGCAAAACGAAAAACAGAGUGCGAUUCUGCGAAACAGAAAAACAGAGAAGUGGCUUUGUUUCAUGAACCCUAAAACAGUUUUGAUUUACAAACCUAAAAUCCAGGGUUCAGUUUCCUUGUUGCACGAUUCACGGAAACCCUCGAGCAAGCGUUCAUUCUCUCUUCACUCACGAUCUGUGCAAGGGCAAAGCGUGAGACUCGGACCUUCGAAGAAUCCGUUCUUCUCGGGAGGUUGUGCAGCCGAGAC